GAUGAACGCUGGCGGCGUGCUUAACACAUGCAAGUCGAACGGAAAGGCUCCUGCUUGCAGGGGUACUCGAGUGGCGAACGGGUGAGUAACACGUGGGUGAUCUGCCCUGCACUUCGGGAUAAGCCUGGGAAACUGGGUCUAAUACCGGAUAGGACCAUCGUUUAGUGUCGGUGGUGGAAAGUUUUUUCGGUGUGGGAUGAGCUCGCGGCCUAUCAGCUUGUUGGUGGGGUAAUGGCCUACCAAGGCGUCGACGGGCAGCCGGCCUGAGAGGGUGUACGGCCACAUUGGGACUGAGAUACGGCCCAGACUCCUACGGGAGGCAGCAGUGGGGAAUAUUGCACAAUGGGCGCAAGCCUGAUGCAGCGACGCCGCGUGGGGGAUGACGGCCUUCGGGUUGUAAACUCCUUUCGCCAGGGACGAAGCGAAAGUGACGGUACCUGGAUAAGAAGCACCGGCUAACUACGUG
rnacentral:rRNA from 1 species